rnacentral:snRNA from 1 species
AAUUAGGCAAUCUGGUAUGAUAUAUGCCACUCCACCAUCGCCAAUAUUAAGUCAGUUGGCCUGACUGUUCAGGUAACUGCCUCUUUUCUCCUUAGCACUCAUUAUGUGCCCUUUCCAGAAAUAGUCUCUUGGUGGAAGAGUUUGACCUUCUCUGUGGAGUAGGAGUGAUCUUUGGUCAAGGAUGCAUGAGUAACUGUGCUCCUCUGCCAGAAACUCCAAAAAAAAAACCCCUCAAAGUGGAUGGGGAAGGUUCCAUUCCGCCAGGCUACCCAAUGGAACGGCCUAUU